AACGAACGCUGGCGGCAGGCCUAACACAUGCAAGUCGAACGCCCUAGCAAUAGGGAGUGGCGCACGGGUGCGUAACGCGUGGGAAUAUGCCCUUCACUGCGGAAUAACGUUUGGAACGAACGCUAAUACCGCAUAAUGACUCCGGUCCAAAGAUUUAUCGGUGAAGGAUUAGCCCGCGUUAGAUUAGCUAGUUGGUGAGGUAAUGGCUCACCAAGGCGACGAUCUAUAGCUGGUCUGAGAGGAUGAUCAGCCACACUGGGACUGAGACACGGCCCAGACUCCUACGGGAGGCAGCAGUGAGGAAUAAUUGGGACCAAAUGGGGCGCAAGCCUGAUCCAGCCAUGCCGCGUGAGUGAAGAAA
rnacentral:rRNA from 1 species